rnacentral:rRNA from 1 species
AGCGGCGGAUGGGUGAGUAACACGUGGGGAACCUGCCCCAUAGUCUGGGAUACCACUUGGAAACAGGUGCUAAUACCGGAUAAGAAAGCAGAUCGCAUGAUCAGCUUUUAAAAGGCGGCGUAAGCUGUCGCUAUGGGAUGGCCCCGCGGUGCAUUAGCUAGUUGGUAAGGUAAAGGCUUACCAAGGCGAUGAUGCAUAGCCGAGUUGAGAGACUGAUCGGCCACAUUGGGACUGAGACACGGCCCAAACUCCUACGGGAGGCAGCAGUAGGGAAUCUUCCACAAUGGACGCAAGUCUGAUGGAGCAACGCCGCGUGAGUGAAGAAGGUUUUCGGAUCGUAAAGCUCUGUUGUUGGUGAAGAAGGAUAGAGGUAGUAACUGGCCUUUAUUUGACGGUAAUCAACCAGAAAGUCACGGCUAACUACGUGCCAGCCAGCCGCGGUAAUACGUAGGUGGCAAGCGUUGUCCGGAUUUAAUUGGGCGUAAAGCGAGCGCAGGCUGAAAGAAUAA